rnacentral:rRNA from 1 species
UACGAAGGGGGCUAGCGUUGUUCGGAAUCACUGGGCGUAAAGCGCGCGUAGGCGGAUUGUUAAGUCAGGGGUGAAAUGCCGAGGCUCAACCUCGGAACUGCCUUUGAUACUGGCAAUCUUGAGUCCGGGAGAGGUGAGUGGAACUCCUAGUGUAGAGGUGAAAAUUCGUAGAUAUUAGGAAGAACACCAGUGGCGAAGGCGGCUCACUGGCCCGGUACUGACGCUGAUGUGCGAAAGCGUGGGAGCAAACAGG